AAAAGAUGAUAUCAAUCCCUUCAAGCAAAUUAGUAGAAAGUUGCAAAUAAAAACAGGGACAAUCACCAAAGAAGAACUUAUUGCUUCAAAUAAGGAAGAAUUAAAAAAAAUUAAUAAAAAAUAUGGGUAUAAAAUUUUCUUAUUAUAUAUCCUUGGCCACAUCAAAUGAAGAAGAAGGCAACUGCCUACCAGGAUCAUCCCAAAGUGUUCAUAAUGCAGAAGGAAGGGAUGUUGAAAGCAUCAAAUCAUUUCUUCAACAAAUCAAAAGCCAAAUAGGAGAAUCUUCUAAUAAAGCAGUAGGCCCCGAUGUCGAGAGCAUAGACGUAUGCUCUUACGUCAUUGAUUUUAGAGUUUUCUAAUAAUCCUCUCUAUAUAAGGAUCUCUUUUGAUAAAUAGGAGGGAGUUUUUAGCCAAUACUUUCUCUUAGUUUUAAAUUUUGUAAAAAUCCUUGUAAAGUUUGAAUUUUGAAUUCAAUUGCUUCUAAUCUUGAAGACCGAUGUCACUAUAUGCCUGGUUCAGGUUGUUUUUAAGCCCCUUACCUUAAGGGGUCUGCCAGAGAGAUUUAUAGCAGCUAUAAGGGAUGACAGAAAUCAGAAUUGGAAGAGAUCUUUCAUAGGGACAGUGCAAACGUGCUUGGUCUAGACCCUGUUUAUUUUAAUGUUGUAUCCUAGUUUGCAGAUUUCUUUGAGUGAUGCGAAUUCUCUAAAUACUUUGAUAUUGAGUAUUAAAUUGAAUGGUUAUGAUUAUAAUAUGCA